rnacentral:lncRNA from 1 species
GGGAUGUACGUGGGCGGAAUGGCCAAUGCACGUCAGAAAUUAUAUUUCUAGUAGGGUCAUCCAGGGCAAGAAGGCUAUUCCAUUAUGCUCAACUAAAUGUAAGCAGUUGCCCCCACUUCAUUCAUGUUUUACUAGUAUGCAAUGAUACAAAGCAGAAAGCGAAACCAUACUGGCUCGGACAUUGCAUGGGUUAACAAGGUCUGUAUCUGUGAGUUAGGCAGAGGCUCAUGUUCAGAAAGUUUACUACAGUCUCCUUUGGCCACUGGUGGCGAAAGCAGCACCAACCCAAGUCUGGCUACUGCAAUAUAUAUACCCACAGUAGGGAAUGGAUCACCACACCAGAG